rnacentral:rRNA from 1 species
CCAGACUCCUACGGGAGGCAGCAGUGGGGAAUAUUGGGCAAUGGGCGCAAGCCUGACCCAGCAACGCCGCGUGAAGGAAGAAGGCUUUCGGGUUGUAAACUUCUUUUCUCAGGGACGAAGAAAGUGACGGUACCUGAGGAAUAAGCCACGGCUAACUACGUGCCAGCAGCCGCGGUAAUACGUAGGGGGCAAGCGUUAUCCGGAUUCACUGGGUGUAAAGGGAGCGUAGACGGCGACGCAAGUCUGGAGUGAAAGCCCGGGGCCCAACCCCGGGACUGCUCUGGAAACUGCGGCGCUGGAGUACGGGAGGGGCAGGCGGAAUUCCUAGUGUAGCGGUGAAAUGCGUAGAUAUCAGGAGGAACACCGGCGGCGAAGGCGGCCUGCUGGACCGCGGCUGACGUUGAGGCUCGAAAGCGUGGGGAGCGAACAGGAUUAGAUACCCCAGUAUUG